UACGUAGGGGGCAAGCGUUGUCCGGAUCUAUUGGGCGUAAAGAGCGUGUAGGCGGCCAGGUAGGUCUGGUGUGAAAACUCGAGGCUCAACCUCGAGAGGUCAUCGGAAACCAUCUGGCUAGAGUCCGGAAGAGGAGAGUGGAAUUCCCGGUGUAGCGGCGAAAUGCGCAGAUAUCGGGAAGAACACCUAUGGCGAAGGCAGCUCUCUGGGACGGUACUGACGCUGAGACGCGAAAGCGUGGGGAGCGAACAGG
rnacentral:rRNA from 1 species